CAGAGAGAGCCACAGAAUGGGAGGAGAACCAGAGAAAAAUGCAGAUCAACAGACUCAAACAACUGCUGGAUCUACUGAUGGUGGACCUACAACUGGCCCACUCAGAGAGAGAGAGAAGAUAAGAGGCAACGAAAAGAGAGGAGAUGGCAGAAGAGGAAAGAAGGGAGAUCCUUGAGUACAAGAGGGGUGACUUAGAGGAGAAGGAAGAGGACAAGGAGGACAUUCUCCCACCUGACAAAAGUAUCCGAAGGAGAGCUGUGGGCUGGAUAAAUAAGAAGUGGGAGAAGAGGAACCUCAGAAAGAUAGAGAGAACGUAUCAGAGAGAGGCUGAGGAGGGCUAUAAGAUCGUCCACAUAGAAGAACCAGCAGGAGGGGCCAGAGAACCAACAGGAGGGGCCAGACAGCCAGCAGCUUGAAGCUCCAGAAGAGAUUGAAACAUCAGAGCCAAUCUCCAAGAACAAGAAAAAGCCAAGCAUCUGGAAGAAAAUUAGGAUGGGUCAACAAGUGAUGAGCCAGAGCAACCAAUCAACAUCACUGCAGCUGUUCUACCCACCACCCCCUCUGCUCUUCCUCCACAAGCAACCUCAUCCUCUUCUCCUGUUCAACUAAUGUGUCGCCCUAGAAAGGACUGUACAUACAGUUGAAGUCGGAAGUUUACAUACACUUAGGUUGGAGUCGUGAAAACUCAUUUUUCAACCACUCCACAACUUUCUUGUUAACAAACUAUAGUUUUGGUAAGUUGUUUAGGACAUCUACUUUGUGCAUGAAACAAGUAAUUUUUCCCCCAAAAAUGUACCGACAGAUUAUUUCACUUAUGAUGAACUGUAUCACAAUUUCAGUGGGUCAGAAGUUUACAUAAAACCUGUUAAGACUAGGCAUAAUACUGCCCCCUUUGGAUGAAUUGCGUGCCCAUAGUAAACUGAAAACAAUUCUGUC